rnacentral:snoRNA from 1 species
GUUCCCUUUCCUUACUCCAGGAACUGCAGUUGUCGUGCAGUGUCUUGGCAUUGACUGGGGAUAGAAUAAAUGAAGCUCCUAUACCCGUUUCUAUGGAUUGAAUUUCCUUUAGAAACGGGCGUGUGAGCUUACAAA